ACAUUUGUAUACGACCAUGUCUCUAUUAUGCGUGGGAAUAAUUGGGAACAGAUUUUCUCAAUUAAAAUCACUUGGAGCUGAUUUCCUGGUGUUUGUACAGUCUUACCUAAAAAAUACCUUCUUUUUUUUCAGAAAAGUUUGUGGGCCAAAUAAAAUUGGGGAACCCUGGCAUACAACAAGUGCUUGAGGUCAUGGCUGCUGCAAGGAAUGAGUAUUCUGUGGAGAGGGCAAACACCAUUUACAACAACACUAUUAAAGUGUUCUUACUGGAAGCUGAUUACAUUUCCUGAAAUACAUUUUCCUUGACCUCAUUUGAAAAUGCCCUUUUCCCCUAGGGAAGAGCAUUUCAUGCUACUCUUCAAAAGUAGUUUAUGUUUACACCAUCUUCCAACAGGUUCCAACUGCUCAUAAUAGCACUUGCUGGUGUCAAUCAGUGAAGUCCUAGAUAAAUGCUUUAUCCCCAACUUUGCAUGGAGAAUUAAGUUAGCAUGGCAUAAGAAAGUUCCUUCAAUUGGAGUCAAACCCAAAAUAUGAUACUCAUAAUUAAAUACACUUUUUUUCCACAAUGAAUUUAAGUCAUCCCUCAAAUCAAUAUGGGGGGAAUUCCGAGCUGGGUUAAGCGGUUGUAAAUUAAAUGUAAUUCCCUUUUUAUGCACUUUUCUCUAUGCGUAUUCUGAGAAUAGCAUGCUAUUCACCCGCUAGUCGUUUGGGGUGGAGAUCGAAUAAAUUAAGGUGUGGCGGAGGUGUGUCUUCAGAUACGGCAUAUUCUAACCUUGACUUAAUUCCCUAAUAAUUCCACCACCUUUAUACACGAGGAAACCAUGAAUAAGGUCUAGUGAACCUACCGGUUCCAAGUGGAAAAAGCAUCUAUACUGAUCAAAAAUAUAAACAAAACAUGUAAAGUGUUGGUCCCGUGUUUCAUGAUUUUAAAUAAAAGUUCCCAGAAAUUUUCAAUUAGCACAAAAAAACAUAUUCCUCCCAAAUGUUGUGCACAAAUUUGUUUACAUCCCUGUUUGUGAGCAUUUCUCAUUUUCCCAGAUAAUCCAUCCACCUGACAGAUAUGGCAUAUGCUUAAACACCAUGAUCAUUACACAGGUGCACCUUGUGCUGGAGAUAAUAAAAGGACACUCAAAUGUGCAGUUUUGUCACACAACACAAUGCCACAGAUGUCUUAAGUUUUGAGGAAGCAUGCAAUUGGCAUGCUUACUGCAGGAAUGUCCACCAGAGCUGUUGCCAGAGAAUGUAAUGUUAAUUUCUCUACCAUAAGCCGCCUCCAAUGUUGUUUUAGAGAAUUUGGCAGUACAUCCAACCGGCCUCACAACCACGUGUAACCACGCCAGCCCAGAACCUCCACAUCUGGGUUCUUCACCUGCGCGAUAGUCUGAG
rnacentral:lncRNA from 1 species